rnacentral:rRNA from 1 species
AUCAACUUUCGAUGGUAGGAUAGAGGCCUACCAUGGUGGUAACGGGUAACGGGGUGUUAGGGCACGACACCGGAGAGGGAGCCUGAGAAACGGCUACCACAUCCAAGGAUGGCAGCAGGCGCGCAAAUUACCCAAUCCCGACACGGGGAGGUAGUGACAAUAAAUAACAAUACGGGAUUCUAAAGGAUUUCGUAAUUGGAAUGAGUACAAUUUAAAUCUCUUAACGAUCAACAAUUGGAGGGCAAGUCUGGUGCCAGCAGCCGCGGUAAUUCCAGCUCCAAUAGCGUAUAUUAAAGUUGUUGCAGUUAAAAAGCUCGUAGUUGAAUUUCGGGGUUAGUAGGUUGGUCAUGCCUCUGGUAUGUACUGAUCUCACUGAUUCCUCCCUCUUGACGAACUGUAAUGUCAUUAAUUUGGUGUUCCAGGAAAUCAGGACUGUUACUUUGAAAAAAUUAGAGUGUUUAAAGCAGGCUUAGGCUUGAAUACAUUAGCAUGGAAUAAUGAAAUAGGACGUUCGAUCUUAUUUUGUUGGUUUCUAAGAUUGACGUAAUGAUUAAUAGGGAUAGUUGGGGGCAUUAGUAUUCAAUUGUCAGAGGUGAAAUUCUUGGAUUUAUUGAAGACUAACUACUGCGAAAGCAUUUGCCAAGGAUGUUUUCAUUAAUCAAGAACGAAAGUUAGGGGAUCGAAGACGAUCAGAUACCGUCGUAGUCUUAACCAUAAACUAUGCCGACUAGGGAUCGGAUGAUGUUAAUUUUUUAAUGACUCAUUCGGCGCCUUACGGGAAACCAAAGUGUUUGGGUUC